CUCAGAAUACGUCUCAUUGGCUCACAACCAGCCUUGAGAGGGUAAGUGGAGCAGCGCUGCUCAUUGCCAGCUAUCAUCCUCCUUUCUUCGCUCACAAAUCCAAUGUCUGUAUUCUGGAAAAUUAGAAAUCCACCUCAAUUCUGUAAGCACUCGCACGUGUGCUUCGCUAGAGCACAUGAAUAGUCUGCUAGUACAGAAUAUGUGCCGCGCUGUUUGCCAGACCAAGGAGAAAAAAAAGCCCCUCCAGUGUUGUUUCCUGCAAAGACCAUUCUUAAGAGCUCGUUGGACAGCGCAGGGCUCUUGAAGUGAUAGCUAAUUGGUGAAAGAAAGGCCCCGAUUGUCUUGAGGGAGCUGGAAAGUGCUGCGUGUGCUGCUGAAAGGGACUAGGGAGAAGGUGCCUGGUUUCGCUGAGCAGCUGCUGCUGGAGAUGUUUGGAGAUUACAUCAGCAUUGGAAAAAAGGGGCAAAAAAAAAGUCCAACUUCACAGAGACGGAGUUUAUGGAGUUUUUUUCCCCUUCCAAAGGUCUUCUGACAAUACUGUCAUUGUCAAUAUAAGAGUUGUUAAUUCUUUAUGAAUAGCACAUGGGGCCUCUUGACUAAAUAGUACGUUACAUGUCCCAAAUCUGUCAGCUGGGCUCUUCUCUCACAUGCUAGUGAGAUCACUUUGAUUGGAAUGUUACAGGAAUUGCGGGGCCGGCCACAGAACUGAAUACUGCAUUAUAUAAUUAGAUCUCCCCAAGUAUUUUUUUUUCACAUUACCUCAUUAUUCUAGCUUAAAUAUGGAAUCAGUCCUUUUGAUGAUUUUGCUGAUUGUGAUUAUAUUCAUACGAUUCAUUUUAUGGUCCUGCCUUAGUGCUUAUAUAGAUUACAAACUGUCCCGAAGGUUUCCUGACAAGAGAAAAGAGGACUAGGAUACUUCAAAAGGCUUGUUCGGAUUUGAACUGGCAAUGAGGACAACUGGACGAGGUAAAUGGAGCUAGAGCAGAUUUUACUUCGGGUUCUGAUGAGAGAGAAAUGACCUGCUGAGACUGCAACUGAGUGAAGAGUCUUCAGAAGGCCUCAUGCUGACAGAGAGGGGGGGAAAUCCAACAACUGAUUGAAUCAAACGACUUCCUAUCAGACUAGGGCAAGAAUUUGUUGUUGGGAACAGACUUGUGGACUUUUGCCAAUGAAAUGAUCUGGACAAGCUGGAUGGAAUCCUAUUGUUGGGCAGUCCAAGACUGCCAGUGGCCCCGUCUUGAUACAUGAAAUGCGAUGGCUCAUUGCCUGCUGGACAAACUGCUGAUCUGCACGUUAAGAUGUCAGCUGCACAGCCUGCCUGGAUGCAACAACUGACUGUGCCUGAACGAACAUGAGGAUUACUGGCCCAGUUUAGGAUCCGUGUCUAAGGAAGCAGAUUUACAGAGUGCAUUUUUACAUGAUUGACUGUCUUGUUGCUAAAUUUUUCUUGUGGUUCAUCCCGGUCAGUUGGAUCAGAAACUGAGUGU
rnacentral:lncRNA from 1 species